rnacentral:tRNA from 1 species
CAGAAGAUAGUUUAUAAAAAAUUUUAAUUUUGGAGAUUAAAGAAAAGAAGAUUUUCUUUCUUCUGA